UACUCAGGGGGCUGAGGCAGGAGGAUCUCUUGAUCCCAGAAGACUGAGGCUUCACUGAGCUAUGACCCCUACCACUGCACUCUAGCCUGGGCGACAGAGCAAGACUGUCUC